rnacentral:rRNA from 1 species
UACGGAGGGUGCAAGCAUUGAUCGGAAUUACUGGGCGUAAAGGGCGCGUAGGCUGUUAAGUAAGUCAGAUGUGAAAUUCCGGGCGCUCAACCCCGGAGCUGCAUUUGAAACUGUUUAGCUAGAGUGUAGUUAGGGUAAACGGAAUUCCACGUGUAGCGGUGAAAUGCGUAGAUAUGUGGAAGAACACCGGUGGUGAAGACGGUUUACUGGGCUAUAACUGACGCUGAGGCGCGAAAGCAUGGGGAGCAAACAGGAUUAGAUACCCUGGUAGUCCAUGCCUUAAACGAUGCAUACUAGGAGUAAGAGGGCUCAACCCCCCUUGUUCCGGAGCUAACGCAUUAAGUAUGCCGCCUGGGGAGUACGCUCGCAAGGGUGAAACUCAAAAGAAUUGACGGGGGCCCGCACAAGCAGUGGAGCAUGUGGUUUAAUUCGAUGCAACGCGAAGAACCUUACCUGGAUUAGAAGUGUAGAGGACGAUAUCAGAGAUGAUAUUUCCCGCAAGGGCCUUUAUAUAGGUGCUGCAUGGCUGUCGUCAGCUCGUGCCGUGAGGUGUUUGGUUAAGUCCAGCAACGAGCGCAACCCUUAUCGUUAGUUGCCAACACGUAAUGGUGGGAACUCUAACGAGACUGCCUGGGUUAACCAGGAGGAAGGUGAGGAUGACGUCAAGUCCGCAUGGCCUUUAUGUCCAGGGCUACACACGUGCUACAAUGGUCGGUACAGAAGGCAGCGAAGCCGCAAGGUGAAGCAAAUCCUCAAAAACCGAUCUCAGUUCGGAUUGUAGUCUGCAACUCGGCUACAUGAAGUUGGAAUUGCUAGUAAUGGCGUGUCAGCAACAACGCCGUGAAUACGUUCCCGGGCCU